AACGAACGCUGGCGGCAUGCCUAACACAUGCAAGUCGAACGAAACCUCCAGGUCUAGGGGCGCACGGGUGCGUAACGCGUGGGAAGCUGCACUUAUGUACGCAAUAACUCCCCGAAAGGGAUACUAAUGCAGGAUAAUGUCUUAUAACCAAAGAUUUAUUGCCUGUGGAUGGGCCCUCGUUAGAUUAGCUAGUUGGGAGGGUAAACGCCUACCAAGGCGACGAUCCAUAGCUGGUCUGAGAGGAUGAUAAGCCACACUGGGACUGAGAAACGGCACAGAAUCCUCCGGGAGGCAGCAGUGGGGAACAUUGCAACAUGGGCGAAAGCAUGAACCAGCUCUGACGCGUGAGCGCUGAAGGCAUUAGGGUUGUAAUGCUCUUUUAACCGGGCUCAUCAUGACAGUACCGAGUGAAUAAGCCCCGGCUAACUACGUG
rnacentral:rRNA from 1 species